rnacentral:lncRNA from 1 species
AUUUGCAUAUAUACCAAGCACUGUAUGGUGAGUUGCAUACAGCGAUGGGCAAUCGUAGUGCCGACAUUGAUCUAGUAUGAUCUGAAAUAGGUCCCUUACGCCGAGGUAAGGCUAUCUGGCACGGAUAGUAGUGGAUGUGUAUGUUCGAAAUAACGAUAUCAUAUUUUAGACAUACGCCGCCGUCAGCAUUUUUAGUUUGCAACUGCUGAUAUCUUUAAGUUUUGUUGAUGGCCGGGGGUGGUGCCCAGUGCAUUUUUAUUGUAGAGUUAAUGUGUAAAAGAAAUAAAUGUGAUUAAAGACGAGGUUCUUUUCUAAAACUGUUUCUAAAAAUAAUUGCGUUAAACCUUGGGUUUAAUUAGUGUAUUAUAUAUGCUAUAUAAUUAGCCCUACAUAAACAUGUAUGUUUAACUUGUUUAGUUAACAAUAAAAUAUGCAAAUUAAGGAAUUAACUUAUGACUAAAUUUAAUAAAAAAUCGUUAGAUACGUAUGAAGAUAGAGAAGAUUAUAGAGAUGAAGAAACCGGUGACAGGUUAAAUAAUAAGAAAUCUGAACCUAAAAAAAAUAAUACUGAUUAUAAGCCGUUUGGUAAAAUUACCAACCGCUA